rnacentral:rRNA from 1 species
UACGUAGGGCGCAAGCGUUGUCCGGAUUUAUUGGGCGUAAAGAGCUCGUAGGCGGUUUGUCGCGUCUUCCGUGAAAACUGGGGGCUUAACUUCCAGCUUGCGGUGGAUACGGGCUGACUGGAGUGCGGCAGGGGAGACUGGAAUUCCUGGUGUAGCGGUGAAAUGCGCAGAUAUCAGGAGGAACACCGGUGGCGAAGGCGGGACUCUGGGCCGAUACUGACGCUGAGGAGCGAAAGCGUGGGGAGCAAACAGG